rnacentral:rRNA from 1 species
UACGGGGGGGGCAAGCGUUGUUCGGAAUUACUGGGCGUAAAGGGCUCGUAGGCGGCCAACUAAGUCAGACGUGAAAUCCCUCGGCUUAACCGGGGAACUGCGUCUGAUACUGGAUGGCUUGAGGUUGGGAGAGGGAUGCGGAAUUCCAGGUGUAGCGGUGAAAUGCGUAGAUAUCUGCAGGAACACCCGUGGCGAAAGCGGCGCGCUGGACCACUACUGACGCUGAGGAACGAAAGCUAGGGGAGCAAACAGG